UACGAAGGGUGCAAGCGUUACUCGGAAUCACUGGGCGUAAAGCGUGCGUAGGCGGUUCGUUAAGUCUGCUGUGAAAGCCCUGGGCUCAACCUGGGAACUGCAGUGGAUACUGGCGGACUAGAGUGUGAUAGAGGAUGGUGGAAUUCCCGGUGUAGCGGUGAAAUGCGUAGAUAUCGUAAGGAAGACCAGUGGCGAAGGCGGGUCUCUGGACAGUUCCUGACGCUGAGGCACGAAGGUCAGGGGAGCAAACGGG
rnacentral:rRNA from 1 species